CCUACGGGAGGCUGCAGUGAGGAAUAUUGGUCAAUGGACGAGAGUCUGAACCAGCCAAGUAGCGUGAAGGAUGACUGCCCUAUGGGUUGUAAACUUCUUUUAUAUGGGAAUAAAAUGUUCCACGUGUGGGAUUUUGUAUGUACCAUUUGAAUAAGGAUCGGCUAACUCCGUGACAGCAGCCGCGGUAAUACGGAGGAUCCGAUCGUUAUCCGGAUAUAUUGGGUUUAAAGGGAGCGUAGGUGGAUUGUAAAGUCAGUUGUGAAACUUUGCGGCUCAACCGUCAAAUUGCGGUUGAAACUGGCAGUCUUGAGUGCAGUAGGAGUAAGCGGAAUUCGUGGUGUAGCGGUGAAAUGCUUAGAUAUGACGAAGAACG
rnacentral:rRNA from 1 species